rnacentral:rRNA from 1 species
GAUGAACGCUGGCGGCGUGCCUAAUACAUGCAAGUCGAGCGAACGGACGAGAAGCUUGCUUCUCUGAUGUUAGCGGCGGACGGGUGAGUAACACGUGGAUAACCUACCUAUAAGACUGGGAUAACUUCGGGAAACCGGAGCUAAUACCGGAUGAUAUUUUGAACCGCAUGGUUCAAUAGUGAAAGACGGUCUUGCUGUCACUUAUAGAUGGAUCCGCGCUGCAUUAGCUAGUUGGUAAGGUAACGGCUUACCAAGGCAACGAUGCAUAGCCGACCUGAGAGGGUGAUCGGCCACACUGGAACUGAGACACGGUCCAGACUCCUACGGGAGGCAGCAGUAGGGAAUCUUCCGCAAAGGGCGAAAGCCUGACGGAGCAACGCCGCGUGAGUGAUGAAGGUCUUCGGAUCGUAAAACUCUGUUAUUAGGGAAGAACAUAUGUGUAAGUAACUGUGCACAUCUUGACGGUACCUAAUCAGAAAGCCACGGCUAACUACGUG